GUUGCCUCGGCGCAGGCCGGCCUCUUGUGAGAGAGGCCCCCUGGAAACAGGGAGCAGCCCGCCGGCGGCCAACCAAACUCUUGUUUCUAUAGUGAAUCUCUGAGUAAAAACAUAAAUGAAUCAAAACUUUCAACAACGGAUCUCUUGGUUCUGGCAUCGAUGAAGAACGCAGCGAAAUGCGAUAAGUAAUGUGAAUUGCAGAAUUCAGUGAAUCAUCGAAUCUUUGAACGCACAUUGCGCCCUCUGGUAUUCCGGAGGGCAUGCCUGUUCGAGCGUCAUUUCAACCCUCAAGCCUGGCUUGGUGAUGGGGCACUGCCUGUAAAAGGGCAGGCCCUGAAAUCUAGUGGCGAGCUCGCCAGGACCCCGAGCGUAGUAGUUACAUCUCGCUCUGGAAGGCCCUGGCGGUGCCCUGCCGU
rnacentral:rRNA from 1 species